CGCAGCCGCGGUAAUUCCAGCUCCAAUAGCGUAUAUUAAAGUUGUUGCAGUUAAAAAGCUCGUAGUUGAAUUUCGGGGUUAGUAGGUUGGUCGUGCCACUGGUAUGUACUGGCUCUACUGAUUCCUCCUUCUUGUAGAACCGUAAUGCCAUUAACUUGGUGUUGCGGGGAAACAGGACUGUUACUUUGAAAAAAUUAGAGUGUUUAAAGCAGGCUAACGCUUGAAUACAUUAGCAUGGAAUAAUGAAAUAGGACGCUCGAUCCUAUUUUGUUGGUUUCUAGGAUUGACGUAAUGAUUAAUAGGGAUAGUUGGGGGCAUUAGUAUUCAAUUGUCAGAGGUGAAAUUCUUGGAUUUAUUGAAGACUAACUACUGCGAAAGCAUUUGCCAAGGAUGUUUUCAUUAAUCAAGAACGAAAGUUAGGGGAUCGAAGACGAUCAGAUACCGUCGUAGUCUUAACCAUAAACUAUGCCGACUAGGGAUCGGAUGAUGUUAAUUUUUUAAUGACUCAUUCGGCGCCUUACG
rnacentral:rRNA from 1 species